GUUGUUUUGAUAUGCUAUUUAGAAAUUAGAAAUAUAGCUAUCUGGAAAUGAUGAUUUAUUAUAUCAUGGUUGUUAUGAUAGAAUCUAAAAUAGUAUGCUAUUUUGAAAUAUGGUUAUCUUUUAAUGAUAAUUGUUGCGAAAAAAUUAGUUGUCUUGUUAUAAUAAUUGUUCAGACUUAUUGGUUGUCAUGAUAGAAUCGAAAUUAAUGGUUGCCAUAAAUAUUGGCUGUCUUGGUACAAUAAUUGUCUUAGCAUAAUGGUUGUUUCUCGAAAUAAUGGUUGUCUUGGUAUAAUAAUUGUCUAGACAUGAUGGUUUCUUUGAUAUGUUUCGAAAUAUGGCUGUCUCGAAAUGUUAAUCGUCUAAACAUGAUGGUUGGUUGCCAUGAUAAAUAAUGUUUGCUCAAAAUAUUGGUCGUUUCUUUGAUGUGGGUCGAGACAUAAUUGUCCAGACAUGAUGGUUUCUUUGAUAUGUUGUUUUGAAAUAUGGUUGUCUCGAAAUGUUAAUCGUCCAAACAUGAUGGUUGGUUGCUAUGAUAGAAUCGAAAAUAAUGUUGGUACAAUAAUUGUCCAGACACGAUGGUUGGUUGGUUUGAUACGUUUUUCAAUAUAUGGCUGUUUCGAAAUGAUAAUUGUCCAGACAUAAUGGUUGGUUGCCUCGAUGAAAUCAAAAUUAAUAUAUGGCUGUUUCGAAAUGAUAAUUGUCCAGACAUAAUGGUUGGUUGCCUCGAUGAAAUCAAAAUUAAUGGUUGCUCGAAAUAUUUGUUGUCUUGGUACAAUAAUUGUCCAGACAUGAUGGUUGGCUGCCCCGAUGGAAUCCAAAAUAUUGGUUGUCUUGGUAUAAUAAUUGUCCAGACAUGACGGUUGGAUGAUGAUUGGUUGCCCUGAUGGAAUCCAAAAUAUUGGUUGUCUUGGUACAAUAAUUGUCCAGACAUGACGGUUGGUUGCCCCAAUGGAAUCCAAAAUAUUGGUUGUCUUGGUACAAUAAUUGUCCAGACAUGACGGUUGGUUGCCCCGAUGGAAUCCAAAAUAUUGGUUGUCUUGGUACAAUAAUUGUCCAGACAUGACGGUUGGUUGCCCCGAUGGAAUCCAAAAUAUUGGUUGUCUUGGUACAAUAAUUGUCCAGACAUGACGGUUGGUUGCCCCGAUGGAAUCCAAAAUAUUGGUUGUCUUGGUACAAUAAUUGUCCAGACAAAUAGUGGUUGCUCGUAAUAUAGGUUAUCUUGGUACAAUAAUUGUCCAGACAUGACGGUUAGUUGCCCCGAUGGAAUCCAAAAUAUUGGUUGCUCUUAAUAUUUGUUGUCUUGGUAUAAUAAUUGUCCAGACAUGAUGGUUGGUUGCCCCAAUGGAAUCCAAAAUAUUGGUUGUCUUAGUACAAUAAUUGUCUGGACAUAUGAUGGUUGGUUGCCUCGAUGGGAUCCAAAAUAUUGGUACUCGAAAUAUUAGUUGUCUUGGUACAAUAAUUGUCCAGACAUGAUGGUUGCUUUGAUAUGUUGUUUCGAAAUAUGGUGUCUCUAAAUGAUAAUUGUCCAGACAUGAUGGUUGGUUUUCAUGAUAGAAUAAAAAAUAAUGGUUGCUCGAAAUAUUGGUUGUCUUGGUACAAUAAUUGACCAAACAUGACGGUUGGGUCUUGAUGGAAUCCAAAAUUUUGGUUGCUCGAAAUAUUAGUUGUCUUGUUACAAUAAUUGUUUAGAUAAGAUGGUUACUUUGAUAUGUUGUUUCAAAAUAUGGUUGUCUUGAAAUGAUAAUUGUUCCGAAAUAUUUGAUUGACUUUUGUUACCAUAAUUGUUUUAACAGAAUGGUUCUUAAAAUAUUGGUAUUUUGAUUGUUUCGAAAUGAUUGUUGUUGCAAAAUUCCCAUCCUGGUUGCCUCAUAAUGAUAUUUGUUGUGAAAUAUCAGAUUCCUUGAACCCAUCAAGUUCAAACAAUUUGGAGUCUAGGUCGUGAGUCCACUUUUUAGUUACUGUCAAGCCGUCCUUCUACUCUUGGGUCCAAUCAUGGUUUAAAUGCCAAAGAACCGGGAUGUUUUUGGAGAAUUUUCAUGAAUGGAAGGAAUGUGGCAACUGGUAUGGUUUUAUCUUAUUCUCAGGUGUCUCCUAUGCAACCUCAAUUUCAACUAUUCGGAUUUGGUUCAUAGAUAUACAAUGCGGUUAGAAGUUUCUUAAUGAUCAUUGUUACUAUUUUACUUAAGUUUAUAGAGUUUUUUGAGUUCCAAGUCU